GUUUCCGUAGUGUAGUGGUUAGUGUAGUGGUUAUCACGUUCGCCUAACACGCGAAAGGUCCCCGGUUCGAGACCGGGCGGAAACA
rnacentral:tRNA from 1 species